rnacentral:miRNA from 1 species
UCUCCUCUGGCCGCUCUCCU